rnacentral:antisense_RNA from 1 species
CUUCACCGAACCCAGCCACAGCGGCUGCUGCCCAUCGCGGUCCUGCCCAUACGUGGCGAGCAGCGCCUGCGCCUC